AUUGAACGCUGGCGGCAUGCCUUACACAUGCAAGUCGAACGGCAGCGGGGGCUUCGGUCCGCCGGCGAGUGGCGAACGGGUGAGUAAUGUAUCGGAACGUACCUUUCAGUGGGGGAUAACGUAGCGAAAGUUACGCUAAUACCGCAUAUUCUGUGAGCAGGAAAGCAGGGGAUCGCAAGACUUUGCGCUGAUUGAGCGGCCGAUAUCAGAUUAGCUAGUUGGUGAGGUAAAGGCUCACCAAGGCGACGAUCUGUAGCGGGUCUGAGAGGAUGAUCCGCCACACUGGAACUGAGACACGGUCCAGACUCCUACGGGAGGCAGCAGUGGGGAAUUUUGGACAAUGGGGGCAACCCUGAUCCAGCCAUGCCGCGUGAGUGAAGAAGGCCUUCGGGUUGUAAAGCUCUUUCGGCCGGGAAGAAAUCGUACAGGUUAAUACCCUGUGCGGAUGACGGUACCGGCAUAAGAAGCACCGGCUAACUACGUGCCAGCAGCCGCGGUAACAC
rnacentral:rRNA from 1 species